rnacentral:tRNA from 11 species
GCCCCGAUAGCUCAGUGGAUAGAGCGUCUGCCUCCGGAGCAGAAGGUCGCAGGUUCGAAUCCUGUUCGGGGCG